AUAAUACUCCCUCCGCCCGGAAAUACUUGUCAUCAAAAUGAAUAAAAGGGGAUGUAUCUAGACGUAUUUUAGUUCUAGAUACAUCCCUUUUUGUCCAUUUUGAUGACAAGUAUUUUCGGACGGAGGGAGUACAAC
rnacentral:pre_miRNA from 1 species